UCAGAUUUUAUUUAUUAGUUUUUGUUUUUUGAAAUCUAAAGUAUUAAAAAUAAUUAUUUAUCUGUGUUGUUUUAGUAUUUUUAAAAGAAAAAAUGAUAUUAAUUAGAGUUUAUUAGUAUUGUGAGAGAAUAUUGAAAUAUUUUGAAAAAUUUUUGUUUUAAAAGAAGAUUUUAGUUUUUGUACCUUGUGUAUCAGGGUUUAUUAAAUAGGACUUAUGGAUUUAAUUUUCUCGAUUCUGGAAGAGUUAAUAUUUUAUUUAAGUUAACGUGGUAAUGUUAUUUAUAAUAAGAUAUUAGAAAUGAAAUGUUAUUCGUUUUUAGAGGUAUCUAGUUUUUUAAGAAAUGAAUUGAAUUUAGGAUUAUUUUAUCACCAAUUUGUUUUGCGAAUUUGGUGAUUAGUUUAAUCUAAUAUUUUGCGGGAUAAGCUGUAAAAUAAAUUAUUAAAAAUUAAUGUUUUUGUAGAAAAUGUAGGCUUAGAAUUAGCUAUCAUUGAGGAGGGUGUUAUAAUUUAUUCUUUUGUUUGAAUAUUUAAUUUGGUUUUAAGUUUUUAUUAAAAUAGUUAUAUUAAUUUGAAAUGUUAGGGAAUAAUGAUAAAAUUAGUAUAUGAUUUGUGUAAUGAUGAUAAUUUAUGGUAGGUUUAUGUAAGGAAUUCGGCAAAGUGAGUGUCCGCCUGUUUAACAAAAACAUGUCCUUUUGGGUGAAUAUGAGGUCUGACCUGCCCACUGAUAUUUGAAUGGCCGCAGUAUUUUAACUGUGCAAAGGUAGCAUAAUCAUUAGUCUUUUAAUUGAAGGCUGGUAUGAAUGGUUGGACGAGAUACUAUCUGUUUCACGUAGAGUUAGAUUAGAAUUUUAUUUUUCAGUAAAAAAGCUGAAAUGGUUUUUAAAGACGAGAAGACCCUAUAAAUCUUUAUAGUUGAUUUGUUAUAAUUUUUUAGAUGGGUUGUAUUAUGACAGUUGAUACUAUUUUAUUGGGGUGAUAUUAAAAUUUAAUUAACUUUUAGUUUUUGGUGACAUUAAUUAAUGAUUGAUUGAUCCGUUAAUGACGAUUGGAAAAUUAAGUUACUUUAGGGAUAACAGCGUAAUUUUUUUGGAGAGUUCUUAUCGAUAAAAGUGAUUGCGACCUCGAUGUUGGAUUAAGAGAUAGAUUUGGGUGUAGCAGCUUGAAUUCUAAGUCUGUUCGACUUUUAAAUUCUUACAUGAUCUGAGUUCAAACCGGCGUAAGCCAGGUUGGUUUCUAUCUUUAAAAAAUUGGAAUAUUUUAGUACGAAAGGACCAAAUAUUUGAUAUAUUAAUAUUUUUGAUUAGAAUAUAAUUAAUUUA
rnacentral:rRNA from 1 species